rnacentral:rRNA from 1 species
CACGUAGGGGGCAAGCGUUGUCCGGAUUUACUGGGCGUAAAGAGCUCGUAGGCGGUUCGGCAAGUCGGGUGUGACAACUCCAGGCUCAACCUCGAGACGCCGGCGGAAACCAUCAGGCUAGAGUCCGGAAGAGGAGAGUGGAAUUCCUGGUGUAGCGGUGAAAUGCGUAGAGAUGUGGAGGAACACCAGUGGCGAAGGCGGCUCACUGGCCCGGAACUGACGCUGAGGUGCGAAAGCGUGGGGGAGCAAACAGG